rnacentral:rRNA from 1 species
CGGACGGGUGAGUAAUGCUUGGGAAUCUAGCUUAUGGAGGGGGAUAACUACGGGAAACUGUAGCUAAUACCGCGUAAUAUCGAAAGAUUAAAGUGUGGGACCUUCGGGCCACAUGCCAUAGGAUGAGCCCAAGUGGGAUUAGGUAGUUGGUGGGGUAAAGGCUCACCAAGCCGACGAUCUCUAGCUGGUCUGAGAGGAUGACCAGCCACACUGGGACUGAGACACGGCCCAG